GUGGGGGUGGGUGUUUAGGUUUUGGAUGGUGAUGUAGUGGGUUUAGUUUAGAUUAUUGGACACUUGUCACUCUACAAAUCCUUCUUACACUUCUUACAAUUAGAAGCUUUUGUAGAAUAACUUAACCCCUAGAACUAGUGGAAGCAUGUUUUGUUACUUUGGAGUGAUAUUUUACUGUAGUGACGGAACAUUUGAACAAGUGGUUGUGCUCAGUAGAGACUGUCCGUUUUAAGUCAUGGUCAUUGAUCUAUUUUACUUACCAGAACUGGUAUGCAACCUCUUUGAAAUCUCAACAGAUUAAAUACAUAGAAGCUGAUUAAUGAAAAGCAACGCAGGAAACAAUUGGGUUGCAGAUCUGCAAAGGGUUAGGGGCGGUGGGUGUUGCCGGAGUGGUGGCGGCAGGAUGAGGUGGUGGUUGGGGUUUUAGGGUAAGGAAAUUGGAGAAGAUAAAGUGUGUGUGUAUGUGUGUAAUUUUUUUGGUUUUAUUUAUUGAACAUUUGGAUAAAAAUAUGAAUUGACCAAAAUACCCUUAAGUGAAUAAAGUUAACUGAAAUUUUUAA